rnacentral:lncRNA from 1 species
GUGCUUUCCAGAAAGUGGAGAAACCAAUACUAAGUGAAUCCACUGCCUAUAUGCAGGAAGAUGCUUGGGGCAGGAAUUCAAAACCCUUGGUGUCAAGUGUCACUCAAACCGUGGCAAUGGGGAGCCGAGAAACACUUUCUGGAAAGUGGGCUAGCGCAACCCCAACCCUUGGGCCCCCGCCCAGGCAGGUCCCCCGCGGGCGUGGCACGACCCCCGCAGGGAGAUCAAGCAGCGCGAAGCUUUUCAGCGUCCUGGAGCCGCCUCUCAAACGUAACCCUACUCGGGCUCCCUGGGGCAAGGUUCCCGGGGUGGAGGGGACCUGAGAACGAGACCAGGGGUUUUAGGAUCCUGGGUCGCUGGGCAGGGCUGGCGUGACGGGGCGGCCCGGAGGCAGCUGAGCCCCCGGGCGCGGGGGACCACCGCGCGGGAGGCGGUCACGUCCUGCGCCGGCGGGCGGGGUGCGCAGGCACCGCAGUUAUUUCGGGACGCGCCGCGGUUCGCAGCACUUCCAGCCGCUCCACUUCCAGAGCUGUCCCAGGGCCCGGUUCUGGGGCGAAAAUGCCGGCCCUUCACAUCGAAGAUUUGCCAGAAAAGGAAAAGCUGAAGAUGGAAGUUGAGCAACUUCGCAAGGAGGUGAAGUUGCAGAGACAACAGGUGUCUAAAUGUUCUGAAGAAAUAAAGAAUUACAUUGAAGAACGUUCUGGAGAGGAUCCUCUGGUGAAAGGAAUUCCAGAAGACAAGAAUCCCUUUAAAGAAAAAGGCAGCUGCGUUAUUUCAUAAAUAACUCUGGGGAGACGCUUCAUCCUCAGUGGAAGAACUAGCUUGUUUUAGUUUGCCAGAAUGAAACCGACAUGCCUUUUAAAGAGAAAAAAAAAAAAAGAAUGAAAUUUAAAGGAGACUUUCUUCAGCACUUAUAUAGAUAUGGUUCUGUAUACAAGCUAUGUGCUUCUCAUCUUUGCUCACUACACUCCCCUUUUAAGAGGGCAGAGAGUAUCAAAUGUGCAGUUAUGGAAAGAAGGACAUUACUUGUGCAUGACUCACCUCUUUCAGUAUAUUGCUUGAUGCCUCAAAUAAAGUUUUAUCUCUGAAAAAUGAGUGUUGAUGAUUUAAGACAGCAUUUAAUUUUUUUGGCCUUAAAUUUUAUAUUUUUCCCCAUAACCUUUCUGGUAUUUGGGACAUGUAUCAAAAGAUGAGGUGGUUUGAUAGAUCAGUUCCCCAAUCCAGCUCUCUCUGCUUCAAUUCUUAGGAGGUUUACAGUGCUGAGUUCUGACUUCUGGAAUGUGUCUGAUCUAACGUUAACUAUUAGGGAAUUGAGUGAAUAGAACUGAACGCUAACAGGAAUCAGAUUAUUUGAGUCAGGAACCAGGCCAAGCCAUGCCUACAUAAGCACUUCUGUGGUUUGUCAUCAUACAGAUCUUGUUCAAACUGUUGCCGCAACAGUGGCCUUAGGAUAGGGAGAGGGUUGGGGUCAAGAGGAGCACCCGGGCGCCAGCCCUGGAAUGUUCACCCUCAGGGAGCUGCACCUCCUACAGGCUCUGCAGGUCUUGGCAUGGCCACCCUCCAGCUCUGUGUCAUUGGAACAGAGACUUGGUUCUGCGUGGCUUGGGCCAAGCACUGCUCUUUUCCUUCUCCUCCAAAGGGACAAGUUAACCUUGUACCCAUUUCUAAAAUUAGCUUGCUUUUUUCUCAUUGAUUUGCAGGAGUUUUUAAUAUAUUCUGACCAUGCAUCCUUUGUCGGUGAUAGGUGUUGGAGGUGCCUUCUCCCAGUCCAUGGCUUAACGUUCCACAGCGGGACCAUCGCUGCAGCGAUUUUAGCCCGCAGAUGCAGCACACCAGAGUACAUGGGCUGCUCAAGUCCUUCAUGAAGACACCCGUAGCCGGACCUUAAAGAAAGGGACCUUUCUUCCUCUCUUUGAGCAUUCUUCCUCCCUCUCCCUCUGUCUUUUGGAUGCAAGUUUCACCAGGUUUGAGCCAAAAACAAGACAAGGAAAACCCUUACAGGUUAGCUCCAGCUCAAGUGGGCUCAGUUACUAACUCCUCCUGCAAUUUUACAUAUGACACCAGAAACCCAGGUUUCUGCUUGACGAGGUCUUUUCUCCAGCCUAGAUGCAUAGGUGUGCUUCAUCAAGCCAGAGAGGUGCCUGUGACUCCAGCAGCUUCCUCAAGUCUAUCAGCACCUUCACUAGGAACUACUUUCCCUUCCCUCUCCAAGAAGGAACGGGAUACCCCAGGCUUUUGAAAGAGCAGGUUACGGCAAACCAAGAGCUGGGAAUAUUUCCUUCAGUUUCUUGCCUUUUUUCCAAGUGUUGAAGUCAAUUGGGAUUACUGAGAGCCCAGGGAUAAUUUUACUCCAAAGGAGGAUUUACUCCAAGGUGAGGUUUAAGAACAGCAAAGGUAUUAUUUUUUGCCAGCAGCCAUAGAACAAUUAGUAUUUGGGUUAUGUUGCUAUUAUUUCAUUUAACAUUUAAAGUGGCAUGGGAUUUUAGUACCUUGGUGCUUGUAAAGUUUUACUUUAAUGAACUGUUUCAUUUAAGUCAUAAAGUUUUCUUCUGUUGCAUAAAAAAGCAAACAUCUAUUCUGCUUAUUGGUAAGACAGAUCAAAUCACCUGCUUCCUUCAUGAAAGGCCAACUCAAUGCAUUUAUCCACUAACUUCUUGAAGUUGGGGAUUACAAGGCUGUAUCCUGAAUUUCUAUCAGCCGCAUUCAGCUGCCCAUUCACAUGCAUCUGCAAGUCCUAGCUUCUGCUCUUCCUGUACCUUCAACCAUAUGACAAAUUAGUCAGCCUACUUCUGUUUUUUCACUAAUAAAUAUCCAAUCUUGUAGAUGUUUCUACCAAAUCUAAUCUGUUCUAUUUUCCUUACUGUUUCAUCAUCGUAACUCAGCAAAUCUAUAAGAAGUGUAAUAAAAUACUCUUGAUUUUCAAGUGUUGAACUUAUUAGCUUGCGUUAGGAAGAAAAUGAAAAUAUGGUAACUAUGUAUUUAGAUAUAUUAUAUAAGUAACCUUUAGUAAGUGGGAAUUUGUUAAGUAGAAUUCAAAUCAUGUGUUCAACUUCUUUCAGUAUAUAAUUGUGUAAUCAUUUGAUAUCUGAUUGAUUAAAUACUUAUUAUGCUUUGUGUAUUGAGACUUACGUUCUAUAAACCCACAUUAAAUUAGCAAAAUAGGCUUUCCUAAUUCUAGGCAGAAUCUACAUUACAAGCUCACCCCUACUUGGUAUUUUAAGACAGGUUAUUCUGUAUCUUGGAUGCAAACUGGUAUCUCAUUACUGUCUAAAUUUGCAUUUUCUUGAUUUCCUAUGACUUCUACUGUCAGAUUUUUGUGUACCUUUUGAUUACCUUCACCCAUUUCAACCACGCCCCCCACCCCCUACCAAUGGCAAUCACCACUCUGUCCUCUGUAUCUAUGAACUUGGUUUUCUUUUUUUAGAUUCCACAUAAAAGUGAGAUAAUAUGGUAUUUGUCUUUGUCUGACUUAUUUCACUUAGCACAACGCCCUCAAGAUCCAUCCAUGUUGCUGCAAUGGCAAGAUUUCCUUCUUUUGUUAUGGCUGAAUAAUAUUCUCACAUUUUCUUUAUCCGUUCAUCCAUCAGUGGACAUUUAGGUUGUUUGGCUAUUGUAAAUAAUGCUGCAGUGAACAUGGGGGUACAGAUACCUUUUCGAAUUAGUAUUUUUGUUUUCUUUGAGUAAAUACCCAGAAAUGGAAUUGCUGGAUCAUAUGGUACUUAUAUUUUUAAUUUUUUGAGGAACCUUCAUAUUGUUUUCCAUAGGGGCUGUACCAAUUUACAAUCUCACCAACAGUGCACAAGGGUCCCCUUUUCUCCAAAUCCUUGCAAACACUUGUUAUUCUUGUCUUUUUGAUAAUAGCCAUUCUAACAGGUGUGAGGUGAUAUCUCACUGUGGUUUUGAUUUGCAUUUCCCUGAGGUUUGGUCAUGUUGACCACCUUUUCAUGUACCUAUUUGCAUCUACUUUUACUUGUUUAAAGAAACAUUGAAAGGUUAUACAGGAAAUUACUAAAAAUUGCUACCUAUGAGGACCAGUGGUGAGUAUAACCAGGUGGGAAAAGAUGAGAUUGAGACUUCUCAUUGCAUAUUUUUCUGUAAAGUUUUGAUUUGGGGACCCUGUGAAUAUAUUAUCUAGUUUAAAAAGUCUAAUUUAAAAAUAAAAAAUAGAAGCAAAAUUCAUAUUGCUGUGUUUAGGCCUUGGAGAGUAAGUGUAUUUUGGUAUUAAUGUUCUACGAAUGAGAAAUAAUUUUGUAUAGUCAACGUGAUCUAAUAGUAUAUUUUGAUCUAUUAAGUUUAUCCCACCAAGUAUAACAAAGAUAUUGAGUCAAUAAUAGUUAUAUUCCACUCUUAUCCCCUUUAACUGAGUCUUUGAAGGAUGAUAAUCAAUGAGAAAUAAGCUGCUGUUUCUAACAUAACAGCCUAUGAGAGCAGGGACUAACAACCUAUUUUUGAUUUAAUAGAGAGGAGCAGGAUGAUCAGAGAAGGAAAGUGCUGUGGGAGCUCUCCUGUUAGGAUGAACCCUGAUCCCCUACUCUGUGCGCUGAGCUGUCCUAAUCAAGCAAGACCGGGACGUCGUCAUCAGCACCUUUCCACUUGAGCUGCAUUCACUUUGAGAGGGUGAAUCCACAGACCAUUAAAAAACAUUCACUUACGUUGGGAGAGUAGAGACGCAUUGAUGCCAAUUCUUCCUUUCUCUUUUGGUUCACACACACAUUAAAUGAUUACCUUCUCUUCUUUUUAAAAGAAAUCCCUGAUAUUAAAGAGUGCAUAAUUUCAUUGAACAUGAAAAUGAGCAGUCAAGGUGGGAUCAAAAUAGGUGAAUUAUAAAUUUCAGAAAUUGGCCCAGAAGUUAUUGUACAAAAGUUACACUUAAAAUAAAGGGGAAAAGUCCUUGUAAAAUUCAACAGUCAUGAAAAAUAAUUCAUCUUGAUAUGCAUAUAAAUAUAUGUAUGCAUUUAUUCAACAAAAAAGCGCCUGGAGCUCCCUCUGUGUACUAGGUGCUGAUUUAGGCCUAAAAUAUAUAGUGGUGAAUUAGACAAAGUCCUUAGCAUCGUGGAAUUUACAGAAAAUAUAAUUAAUCAGAUAUAUGUGGAAAUUGCACAGUAUAUUAUGAUGUAUAAGUUAGGGUAAAUAGGAAAAUGUUUUUUGUAUUUUUUAAUGAUGAUACUGAUGAUGGCAUGAUGAUGAUGAUGAUGACUUAUACAUUUGAAGUGCUUAAUAUUUAUUUGACACUGGAGUAAGCUUUUGACAUAGAGCGUAUCUUUUGAUUCUCAGAAGUACCUAUGUAUCUGGUAAAUAAUUUACACAAAGUCAUACAGCUAGUGUAACUGUCAAAGCAUACACUGUGCCUUAAACGCUAUACAAUACUACUUCUCUACUACAAGCCAACACAUAUGCACAGUGAAAAGAGCUAUUAGCUCAACAACUUUCUGAAGUGGCUUUUGGUAUAAGUAUAGCUAUUUGGUAUAGGUACAGCUACUAUAGCCUCAGAAAUUUUUAGCACUGACGUAUGACGUAGAGUUUUAUAGUAGUUCAUUUUAGUUGUUCUUACUGCUUGGUUGGUUGUUUGGUUGGUUGGUUGGUUGAUUUCCUAUAUUCACAGCCUAAUACAACAAUUUUAACCUAUAUCAAGUGGGAGAAUUUUGCUUUCAUAAUAAAAACUAUCUCACAAUUCUAAAUUAUGAUGAGUGAUAAACUCUAAUUAUAUAUCAAAUCGCUUUUGCUCAUUUGCUGAAUAAUAUAAUCUCUCAAUUUAGUACCAGAAUUUAUCUGAUAGAAGCUACAUGAAUUAUUGUAGAGUGCCUAGAAGAAAUAAACUGGACUCUGUAAGGACUUUCUUGAAAAUACCAAAAUUAUUAAAUGAUAGUCAGUCUGCAGUAGAGAAUUGCCUACAGGUACCAAAGAAUUUUCUCUGAAAUGUGAUCUAACUCUGUCUCUGUAAAAGCUUGUAUGUUUUCUUUAAUAAAUGUGGC